rnacentral:lncRNA from 1 species
GCCAUUGAGAGAACAUGGAGGCGGAUGUUAAGAUUCUACUCUGCACCUUUACAGGAAGAAAUUGGAUGCUGACUAGAGUUCUUGUUUCCAUUGGGAAGAUCUGCCCAGCUGUCUCUGUCUGCAUUCCUAUUGGCACUCUGAUCUUUUGGGUUACCAGGAUAUUCUAGGUUUCCAUAUAUGUAAACAAAAGAAGAGGAGGUGGAAGAGCAGGAAGAGAAGCAGAAAGAGAUUACAUAGUCUAUCCUAUCAUUGACUUCUAGUCUGAAGAUUCUUCUUGAAUUGUGACAGUGCCUGCACCGCCAUGGUACCGAGACAGAGACUCGGGUCAUUUGUGCUACAAGAAUGCCAAAGCUUUACUGAGGUUCACAGUACAUAUAUCCCCAAAUCCACCAGGUGGAAAAUUCUAGGAAGCCCAGUGGAAAAACAAGUUUAUGCCCUUGGGAAAAAAACAGGAACGACAAAAAAAAAAAAAAAAAAAAAA